rnacentral:rRNA from 1 species
UAAUACGGAGGGUGCGAGCGUUGUCCGGAAUCACUGGGCGUAAAGGGCGCGUAGGCGGCAUGCCAAGCGUGUGGUGAAAGCCCGGGGCUCAACCCCGGGUCGGCCGUGCGGACUGGCGUGCUUGAGCACUGUAGGGGCGGGUGGAAUUCCGGGUGUAGCGGUGGAAUGCGUAGAGAUCCGGAAGAACACCGGUGGCGAAGGCGGCCCGCUGGGCAGGAAGGAAGCGCAAGCUUCCGGCUGACGCUGAGGCGCGACAGCGUGGGGAGCAAACAGGAUUAGAUACCCUGGUAGUCCACGCCGUAAACGAUGGGCACUAGGUGCCUGGGGGAGCGACCCUCCGGGUGCCGGCGCUAACGCAUUAAGUGCCCCGCCUGGGGAGUACGGCCGCAAGGCUG